rnacentral:rRNA from 1 species
GAAGGUCAGAAUUGUGGGUUUGUUCAGUGGGUUGAUGAGCAGUGGCCCCCAACAAUGGAGAAUGCAUUGCUGAAGCUUUGGUCAAUGGUUGAAGAGAGCAAGUCUGCUAGGGUGGAUGAUAAUCUUCAAAGUUCUUUAACUAUUCACCAUUUGACAGAAGAAAAUAAGAAGCUGGAUGCACAAUAUGACAAGUUAGUGAAAGAUGUGCAUCAACUUGUGGACUUUCAGCAGGAUAGGGUUGUGGAUUUCAGUUAUCUGCAGUCAGCUGUCACAUAUCAGCACCAAUGCAGAGCUGAAUUGGUGGCUGGUAUGAAUGCAAAAAUGGCAAAGAAAGAUGCAGCUCUAGAGAAGCUUCAACAGAAGUUUGAAAUCCUGUGCAACCUGACAAGUGCUCAAGCAACUGCCAUCCAAAACCUCAAGUUGAAGAAUAUGAAAGAGAAGCAAUUGAGGAUUGAGGCUCAAGAGAAUUUGGAGCUAAAGAAUGCAGAGUUCACAAAGUUUGAGGAGAAGCUCACCCAAGAGAAGCUAGAGUUGAAGUUCCAGGUUGCUGAUCUGCUGAAGCUUAAGGAAAACCAUAAAGAAGAGAAGCAGAUGCAAGAGUUUAAGAUUACUGAGCUCAUGAAGGCAGAGGAGAAGCUGAAGGAGAAGAUCAAGGGGAUCCAGGCCAUCUUGGAGAACUGA